ACCAACUGCUUCUGGCGAUCCAUGUGGGGACAAAUGACACAGCCAGGCAGGGGGCGGGUGGGAUCACCAGAGACUUUGAGGACUUGGGAAAGAAACUCA